UCUGGCAAACAUUGUCUGUCUUAUAUAUAAUUUUGCGUUUAAAAUUGAGGAACGUCUUUCCAUUGAAGAAGAAAACCACGAUAUUGACGAAGUAAUUGAAGAAAUUUGUUUGGAUGUUGCAAUUGCGAUUCGUGAUUGCUUGAAAAAUGCUUAUGAAAAUAUGUCAGACUUUGUGGGUAAUAUACAAGCAGUGAUGAAGAAAAAGAAGAUGUUUGUGGAAGAGUUGGAGAAACAAUUGUCUUACCUGAAAACUAGGUCGAAAUCAUAUUUGUAAUUGUGUAUAUACCAUCUCCAUCUAGAACCAACUCUGAUUAGGGAGGAAUCCGCGAUAAUAGUUUGACAGAAAUUUUUUUAAUUAUUUGUAAUAUCACUGCGCUGUCGCCAAGUUCGUAGACGAAUGAUGAAUGAAUUUGGAAAUCGAAAAAUGAAAUACUUACAAAUCCAUUCUAGGUUGUCCAUUUCUUCCAACUCCUCGUUAAAUACAUUUGCAGAACUAUCUAUAUUUACAACAUCCGGCUUAGAGGCUGUUAAGUAAAGAAUUUCUGUAACACGCCAAAUUGGGUGUGCCCAUAAAUGAAGUCUUGGAAAAACCCGUCCGCAUUACUGGAAAAGUUUUCACAAAAAUGGGCACCACGUCCUCAAAUAACAAAAUCGUCAACGACACAAGCACCGACAUCGUCAGCAUUUCUGUAUCAGGGUUGGAUGGCUUCGAUUGUGAAGAGUAAUCAUCCAAGCAGCAAACAA